rnacentral:misc_RNA from 1 species
UUCAGUUAAAUAGACCAAUGCGAUGUUUUCCAUUCCAUGGAAGAAUCACCAAUUUACCUUUGGACGGUAAAAAAAAAUAUUUUCCAGGAAAAGCAUCCUCAUCUAACCGUCGCCUCUCAUGCCUGUGAUCAUAUGACAAAGUGGCAGUAUUAAUUGCGGGACUGAAUGGCGCCGUCAACUCUGAUUGCCGCAAUUUUUUUAGUAAUGUAUCUGACAUGUCUAACAAGUCUCGCCAGUCAUGCCAGUGGGCAAAGUACAUCCUCGAAUACCAUUCGUCUUGUGAAUGGUAGCAAUGAUCUACAGGGCCGAGUGGAGGUGUUAAUAGAUGGCAUUUGGGGGACAGUCUGUGAUGAUUAUUGGAAUCUUAAUGAUGCUCAUGUCGUGUGUCGUCAGUUGGGCUAUGUAAGAGGUCUCUCAGCAACUGGGUCUGCGCAGUUUGGCCGUGGAACCAUCCCAAUCGUUCUAGAUGAUGUAAAAUGCAAAGGAUCAGAAAAACAGUUACAAGAUUGUCCUGCAAACAGAGAAAACAACUGUAACCAUGGUGAAGAUGCUGGUGUCAAAUGCACAACUAUAACUUCCAGUGAGAUUGUUCUUGUUGGCGGUAGCAGUGAAGAGGAAGGCCGAGUAGAGGUCUUUGUAAACAAUGCUUGGGGAACUGUCUGUGGUGAUGAUUGGGAUCUAACUGAUGCAACGGUGGUAUGUCGUCAGUUGGGCUAUAAUUACGCAGUAUCAGCUUUUGGUUGGGCUCAUUUCGGUGAAGGGAAAGGUGAAAUUGCUCUGGAAAAUGUUAACUGCUCAGGACAAGAAAGCAGGUUGCAAGACUGUAGAUCAUCACCCUACAAGUACAUGUACCACUGCGGCCAUUGGAGAGAUGCUGGAGUCAUCUGUACAGGUGGGCUUGGUACAUCUGACGUACGGCUUGCAGGAGACAAUAGCAGUGUUCAUGGCCGAGUGGAGGUGUUUAUCAAUGGUGUCUGGGGAACAGUUUGUGAUGAUGACUGGGAUUUGAAUGAUGCAAGAGUUGUAUGUCGGCAACUAGGCUUUGUGGAUGCACUUUCUGCUGUUGGAUCUGCAGAAUUCGGGCAGGGCAGUGGAGAUGUAUUUUUAGAUAACCUGGCAUGUGAUGGGACAGAGAGAACAUUGUUGGAUUGCCCACGGGCGGCCAGGCCCUACUGUAGACACAGUAGAGAUGCUGGUGUCAUUUGUCUAAGAGCAACAGAACACAGUGGUAUGCGGCUAGUUGGUGGUAGCAGUGCUCUAGAGGGACGAGUAGAGGUGAAGUUUGGAAAUCUUUGGGGUACUAUCUGUGACGAUGACUGGGAUUUAGCUGAUGCUACCGUGGUUUGUCGUCAGCUGGGUUAUGGAGAGGCUCUCUCAGCUCCUGGUGGUGCAACAUUUGGUGAAGGAACUGGUUUAAUAGCCAUGGACGAAGUGGAUUGUAAAGGAACAGAAGACAAUCUGUCGGAUUGUGCAUAUCAUGCUAUGGAAGAUUGCCAACAUUCUGAAGAUGCUGGUGUGUCUUGUAGUGGAAUGCAACCAGCAUAUAAGUUUGGUCAAGUCCGUUUGGUAGACGGGAGCUCAGAAUAUGAGGGCUAUGUGGAGGUUAAUUACAACCGUCAGUGGGGUACAGUCUGUGACGUUGGAUGGGACAAACUUGAUGCGGAUGUCGUGUGUGAGGAGCUGGGAUUUGAUUUUGCCAUCUUUACAUCCGAAAGUCGUGAUUAUAACCGGUCCGCUGGUGGACCCGUCUGGCUUUCCAAUGUGCGCUGUAGUGGGACCGAAGACAGACUAGCCAAGUGUUACCAUGGAAAGUGGGAUGACAAUUACUGCUCACACGCUCAAGAUGUGUGGGUGAAAUGCAACAGUGCUCCAAGUACAAGUACAUGUAAGAGCAAAAUUAAGGCAUUAAAUGACCUGAAAAAUUGCAGUCACCAAGAUUUGUUGAAUCAUUUGAGACACCUGUGUAUGUUCACAGGUGUUUUAUGUUUGGCACACAAAGUUCUAGCUGAUAAUUCUGUAUUUUGUAUUUUCAGAAAUGGAGACAGCUUUACUGUUUUAAUGCCCUAUUUGCCAGGUGGAACAUUCCAGGUUAAUUCUCACUUUAACGUCUCAGAAAUGGAUUUUUUUCAAGUUUGGACACUUUUGGACACCUUUGGACCUUUUGGACACCUUUGGACCUUUUGGACACCUUUGGACCUUUUGGACACCUUUUGACCUUUUGGACACCUUCGCAAAGCUUUUACAGAAUGUUGUGUCUAUAGCUACAUCACUGACCACAGCGGCUAUUGUUGGGAUUGCAGUGGGAUCGUUUGUAGCUUUGAUUCUUUGCAUCUUCUGCAGUUAUUGGUUUUGCCG